UGGGGAAUAUUGCACAAUGGGCGCAAGCCUGAUGCAGCCAUGCCGCGUGUGUGAAGAAGGCCUUCGGGUUGUAAAGCACUUUCAGCGGGGAGGAAGGCGUUAAGGUUAAUAACCUUGGCGAUUGACGUUACCCGCAGAAGAAGCACCGGCUAACUCCGUGCCAGCAGCCGCGGUAAUACGGAGGGUGCAAGCGUUAAUCGGAAUUACUGGGCGUAAAGCGCACGCAGGCGGUCGGUCAAGUCGGAUGUGAAAUCCCCGGGCUCAACCUGGGAACUGCAUUGGAAACUGGCAGGCUAGAGUCUUGUAGAGGGGGGUAGAAUUCCAGGUGUAGCGGUGAAAUGCGUAGAGAUCUGGAGGAAUACCGGUGGCGAAGGCGGCCCCCUGGGCAAAGACUGACGCUCAGGUGCGAAAGCGUGGGGAGCAAACAGG
rnacentral:rRNA from 1 species